rnacentral:tRNA from 1 species
GGGAAUGUGGCUUAGUGGUAGAGGGCUUGCCUAGCAUGCAAGAAGCCCUGGGUUCGAUUCCUCAGUACCA